GAUGAACGCUGGCGGCGUGCCUAAUACAUGCAAGUCGAGCGAACGGACGAGAAGCUUGCUUCUCUGAUGUUAGCGGCGGACGGGUGAGUAACACGUGGAUAACCUACCUAUAAGACUGGGAUAACUUCGGGAAACCGGAGCUAAUACCGGAUAAUAUUUUGAACCGCAUGGUUCAAAAGUGAAAGACGGUCUUGCUGUCACUUAUAGAUGGAUCCGCGCUGCAUUAGCUAGUUGGUAAGGUAACGGCUUACCAAGGCAACGAUGCAUAGCCGACCUGAGAGGGUGGUCGGCCACACUGGAACUGAGACACGGUCCAGACUCCUACGGGAGGCAGCAGUAGGGAAUCUUCCGCAAAGGGCGAAAGCCUGACGGAGCAACGCCGCGUGAGUGAUGAAGGUCUGCGGAUCGUAAAACUCUGUUAUUAGGGAAGAACAUAUGUGUAAGUAACUGUGCACAUCUUGACGGUACCUAAUCAGAAAGCCACGGCUAACUACGUG
rnacentral:rRNA from 1 species